rnacentral:lncRNA from 1 species
AGGAAAGCUGCUCAAUUUAGGUUGGCAAGGUUGUUAAGGGGCUUUCUAACAAUUCCACAGAGGAGUGGAAGCAGAGAUAAUUGUCUGGUCCCAAGUGGCUUCAGAUGCUCAGCUGUUGCCACGAGCAUCUUAAAGUUGCAUGGAGGGUCUUCACGGGAUGGAGGCAAAAAACUCAUCACACAUCAUCAGUGAUGCUGGCUGCAUCAAAGGAUGGCUAACAGUGUAACCUGAAGUUUUUUGUCGACAGUCACAGAUCUAAUACCAACAGUACUUGGUCGUCUGUGUGUUCGUGUCGCUUUUAUAAUAAGCAUCUUCCCCCAAGAUUCUGUACUGGGAAUUUUUAACUUGCUGUGUACAGAUACAACAUGCAUCCACACUGUAGAAGACGAAAAGGAAGGAAAAGCACAUGGUGUUCCAUGAGAAGACGAUUAUGCCGGUGCAUAGGGGUCUACUCCAAGAAAUCAAGAGCUUGAAAGGCGGCUGGGCCAAGGAACAAGAAGACAAAAUGGCGUCUUGUUCUGAAAACCUGCCUAACUCGCCUCCUCUCUCUGAAGCUGUAACUGAAUCACGUGCAUGAGAUCAGGCCUCUGAAUGCCCUAAUAGGCCUCAACUUUCACUUAUUGAGGAAAUUCGGGCUGCAAUUAAACAGGAAUUCGGUAAAGCCUUCUCUAAAAUUGAUCAACGCCUAGAAUUGCUUUCUUCGGGGCUCUCUGGAGCCCGUGAGACUGCUUCGGCUGCUUUCAACCACACUACAGAGUUAAGAUUUGAUGUUGAUUUAAAAAGGUGAGGAUUUUAAAAGAGCAAGUACUGGACCUCCAAUCUCACUCAAAGUGUAAUAAUUUUCAGGUUCAUGGUGUCCCUGAGGGAGC